UCAAAACCUUCAUCCAAUUUUUGGUUUGGCAACAACGCAAUUGCCAUUACCAUUCGAAAUAAAUCAUGGACUUUCCUAUUUUCCCUGUAUAAAUUGAAUCCAAAAUCUCACCAAGUUCUUGAAUUUUUCGCCAUAUACAUUGUGACGAAUGAAACCAACAACCUACAAUUCUGGCUGUAGGAAAAACGGAAUGUAUGGCAUUGAUAGAAGCGCGUUCAAAGUCUGUCAUGACAGUUGUUGGUUGCCAACGUUAUGAAGAUGACCAAUGUUCAAAAUAACAGUAUUUGGAUCAGCAUUUAAAAUUUUACCACGAGCAGGACAGCUGUAUUAGAUAAAAGCUGAAAAAAAAAGGAUUACUUACUUUGACCUCCAAAGAGAACAGCGAACAGUAAAACCAUCUCUACGAGUCUGGUGCUUCCAAUA